AUAAUGUUUCGUUUUCCAUUACUGCAAUCGUUAUUCACUCUGAUGUGGAUGUUGACAUCUUCAAUAGUUGAAUGUCAGGAGUGUUCUUCAUCAGGGUUGGAUGUGUUUGGUGGCUAUCGGUACGUCUUCUACCAUGCUUUAGAUGGUAUCGGUAGGACAUUCUCUGAAACACGUGCACUCUGUCAAAGCUUAGGGGGUGACAUGCCAAUCAUCACAUCAGCUGAACAAAAUGAUUUCAUUGCCAUGAGAUUAAUGGU